rnacentral:tRNA from 1 species
CGUCCGCCAUGGACCAGCGGUCCGGUGCUUCGAACAGCGGGUCCGCUUCGUCGCGGGUGAUGCCGGCAGGUUCGAGUUGUGCCGCGGGCGUC